rnacentral:rRNA from 1 species
UACGUAGGUGGCAAGCGUUGUCCGGAUUUACUGGGUUUAAAGGGUGCGUAGGCGGUUUAAUAAGUCAGUCGUUAAAGACAUCAGCUUAACUGGGGCAUGGCGAUUGAUACUGUUAAACUUGAAUAUAUUGGAGGUAGCUGGAAUGCGUAGUGUAGCGGUGAAAUGCUCAGAUAUUACGCAGAACACCGAUUGCGAAGGCAGGUUACUACGAUAUGAUUGACGCUGAGGCACGAAAGUGUGGGUAGCAAACAGG